rnacentral:lncRNA from 1 species
GUAGAGUCUGAUUGAUAGAGGCUGAGAUAAGCUUAAUUACAAUUACGUAAACAGAAGGUGGUCAUACAAAGCUUGUGAGCAAAGAAAACGUAAGUCACUUAACUCCUCCACUCCCAGACCUCCUCAUAUGAUCUUCUAAUUCCCAUGUCAAUUCCUUCUAUACUUAUCACCCGCACUUCUUUCUCUCAUUUGCAAUUCAUCAGUACAUGGGAAAUAGCACACUUGAGAAAAACGCUGUAAGUGCACCACCAUUGGCACCCUACUUCAAGCCACUGUGCUCUCUUGCUGGGAUACUGUGAUAACCUCUAAACUAGUCUCUCCACAUUUCCACCCUGCUUCCAUGCUCUAUUCAUAACAGUGAGGAUGAUCUUUUGAAAACCAGAGUCACAUCAUGUCAUUCCUUUGCUCCAGCCGUACAUCCACAGCUCACAAGAAUAAAACCCCAAGCCGCAGGGAAGGUGCCCACGGACUACAUGAUCUCUCCUCUGACACUUUCCUAAUUUCAUCUCCUACUGCUCCACUCCAACGCCAGUGACCUCUUUGCUGUUCCUCUAACAUUCCUGGUAAGUUCCUACUUUACAGUCUCUGCUGACACUAUUACCCUUGCUAGAAAAGUGCCUCCCUACAAACCCACACAGCUCCUUCUGUGAAUUAGCUGAGCUACAAGCCAAGCGACUCUAACCAAACAUAGCACUUAAUUCAGAAUAGAAUUGUAUUUCUCUCUCAUGUCAGGGCAGCUCUCCCAUCUCACGGUAUGGUCUCCAAGGUUGCUCCAGUUGUUACCAUUUCCCAGUUGGCAGGAAAAAAGUAAAUGUCUUUAAAAAGAUGACUCAGAAGUUACACACAUCACUUCUCAGAUCCAGUUGGCCCCAAAUUAGUCCAUGGCACCCAGAGUUGCAAGGAAAGCUGGGAAAUAUCAUCAGUACAGAUGUCAUCUAUUGGCUUAGCAAGAGCUCUGAGGUACUGUUACAAAAGCCACUGAAGGAUGAAGGAUGCCGGGGUGUCGUUAGCCCCUGUCAUGCCCCUUCCCUUGAUUCAGGACCCUGCUCAAAUGUAUCCUUAUCAGAAAAACCCUCCCUCUUUACCCUCUGCAGAUAUUCUCCCCCAUCACUGCUUAUCCCUUCCCUCGGCUUUUAUUCCUUUUCAGCAAGUACAUUCAAUUGAUAGAUCCCAGUUUUAUGUUUGUUUACUGCUUCCCCUCACCAGAAUGAAACACCAGACCCCGAGGGUAGGGUUUUGCUUUGUUCCCUGCUGUAUUCCAGUCCCUAAAGCAGUGCUGGCCACAUAAUAGGCAUUUAAAAAUAUUUGUUGAAUGAAAAUUAAGGAUGGAGGUGAGGCUGGAUUGUCCUUGAAGAUUCUUGUUUCAUGAAGUUAUUUGGGUGUCUUAAUGCACAAAUAUGUACAAGGGGUUGUGAACCUGAGCCACAGCAGGAGGGAGAAGCAGUCUGACUUACCUUCACCUUAAGCUGAAAGCUGAGGAAGACCUUGAGAAGGUGGAAACAGGCACAGACCAGGGCUCUCCGGAUUUGAUCAUCAGUGUCCUGACAUAUAACUAACCAUUCGAGGGCUUUGUCUGGUCUGUGGAGGAAGCCUAGCCAUGUGUGGGGGUUAAGCCUUGCUGAGGAAAAUGGAUUUUCCCACUGACAGCCAUCUUGUGUGGGAAUGAGUUGGCCCAGGAUGGAGGAGGGAAGGAAUUUCUCUUCCUGUGGCUGGACGCCAUGGUAGGAAGAUGCCUGGGCAUGCUCUUUGGUGGGGAUUGACCUGGCCCCGCCUGAUAGAAGUUUCCUUUAAUACUCCUUGGUCUCAGAUGGGUCUGGGCACAGGACCCUUAGGAGCACCUGAGCAGCAGUGCCUAUUACUCUUUAGGCUGGAUGUCUGUUUCCCCUUCCAAAGCCCAGUCUCUGCUUGGCUAUGAGGACCAGAGGGAGCAACCAGAGUUCCUGCUCAGUGCACCAGGCACGGGGGCCAAGACCAGCCUGAAGAAGCCAAACACAGUCUGAACUAGGAGAUUCGCAGAGCUCCAGAGAGCCAGGAUUCAACAAAUUGUAUGCCUUCCUCCAGGAUGUCCAGAAACCACUUGAGAGGUAUAUUCAGAAAGGGGAUGGGGAGUUCCUGCUGUGGUGCACUGGGAUCGGUGGCGUCUUAGGAGCACAGCGAUACAGGUUCAGCCCCUAGCCUGGCACAGUGGGUUAAGGAUCCAGGGUUGCUGCAGCUGUGGCUUAGGUCACAACUGCAGCUUGGAUCUGAUCCAUGGCUGGGGAGCUCCAUAUGCUACAGGGCAGACACAGUGAAAACAGAGACAGAAAUAUAGAAAGAGAGAAAGACAGGGGGCUUCCUGUGGCCCCUGAGUAGGGCUUCAUUUCUAUUUGGAUACUAAGGGAAGAAUAUUCUUGUUUUUUAGCUGGCAAAUCUGGGGAUAUAUCAAUUACAUCUACUUGGGAACACUGAAAGAAGUAUUUCUUAUUUCUGACAUCCCAGAAUGUUUCUAAUUAUCCCAAGCAGCAUCACAGCUGUACCAAACAUUUCUCAGGAAAAAGUUCAAAAAUUUAUUCUAAAAAAUAAUGUCACAGUGCAAGAAGUGCACAGUGCAAGAAGGGCCUGGCUAAUUGCAUCCAGGACAGCACAGGGUGCUAGGUACCAGCCUGCACUGAGCUAAGCCCUCUACAACCAUUUGCUUUACCUUUGUUAACUCAAUAUGUGAUCCCGGUGAGGAAGCACUGUCCAGGGCACAGAUGAGAAGCCUGGACUGGCUAAAGGUCAACAUGGCUUAUGAUGGUCGGAACCCAGGCUGGGUUCAAGGUGGUUUGGUUCCCAUCUGGGGUCUGGAAGCAAUUAUGCAGAUGCAGGCAUACUGUCUACUGGGAGAAAGGAGACUGCCAAGCAAACUAGAAUGUACAACCUGCCUCACCAGAAACAAAUGAGCCUUCCUUAGGCAUGGCUUUCAUCCUUUGACUCUUCUGCCUCCAAACAGUUAAUGGUCCCUGCUUCCUCUAAUAUCAAGCUGAUGGUCUAGUGUUUGAUUUUCCCUCUGCAAGGGGUCCCUUCCUAACUGCUGAACUUAUUUUCACUUUUUCCCAUCAUGAACUUUCGACCCCAAAGUUUUGACAGACUCCCUGCUUGUGACCACUUUGUUCAUCCUGGCCCUUAACUCAGCUCACUUUGUUCACACCACGUGAGGACUUCAUCCAUCGACUUAAGCACUGUCUUGAAUUAUGUGCUCAAUGUUUUGUUUCUAUUUGUUUUGGUUCUUCAACGAGAUGGCAAGCCUCUCUGGGGGAAAGAUAGUGUUUCCUACUUCUUUAUGUGCCUUAAUGCACCCAGCACCAUUUCAGUACCUUACAGAACUCAGUUAACACUUUUUUUUUUUUUGUCUUUUUGCCUUUUCUAUGGCCGCUCCCGCAGCAUAUGGAGGUUCCCAGGCUAGGGGUCUAAUUGGAGCUGUAGUGGCCAGCCUACAUCAGAGCCACGGCAACGCUGGAUCCGAGCCGUGUCUGCAACCUACACCACAGCUCACGGCAACGUCGGAUCAUUAACCCACUGAGCAAGGCCAGGGAUUGAACCCACAACCUCAUGGUUCCUAGUCGGAUGGGUUAACUACUGCGCCACAACGGGAACUCCAAGUAACACAUUUUUAUUAAAUCCAGAGGAAGUUAGGAAUCACUGAUCUAUAACUAGUUCUUAUAAGUAAGUGCCUUUCCUGCUGAGUCACAUGAAGGGUUAGUGUGAGUUUCCUAAAGUCAUUAAAAUGACUGGCCACAAAGUUGGCUGCUUCAAACAACACAAAUUUAUUUGCUCACAGCUCUAGAGGCCAGAAAUCCAAAGUAAGUGUCGAUGGGCCAAAAUCAAGGUGCCAGCAGAGUCACUCCCUGGAGGUUCUGAGAGACUACUCUUUGCUGCUCCCAGCUUCUGGGGCUGCCAGCAUUCCAUGGCUUUUGGCCACAUCACUUCAUCUCUGCCUCCGUGGUCAUGUGGUCUUCUCCUCUGAGUCUGCAUGUCAAUGGUCCCUCUGUCUCUAUGUUACAAGGACAAUUGUGUUUGCAUUUGGGGUCCUCCUGGAUAAUCCAGGAGAAUUUCCCCAUGUCAAACACCUUAAUUUAAUUAUACUUGCAAAGAUCCCUUUUCCAUCUAAGGUUACACUUACAGGUCCCAGGGAUUAGGACAUGCUAUCAUUAGGGACCAUUAUUCAUCCUACUGUAAGUUAUAAUUUAAAUACUAUUCUUAAAAUUUGAUUAAGUAAACAUAAGGGCAUGGAAAAAGCCAGUGUUGAGCUAGAAUCGAACAAAGUUCUCAAUAAAGUAAUGACCAUCCUGCAUGCACAUACACACAUGCACAUGCACACAUGUACCCCCACACACAUAUGACUCUGGGCCAGCAAAAUAUUUCCUAGUCCAUCUUCAGCUUCAAAAGGGAUAAGUGUCUUAUUUAUUUUAAAAAAAGAAUUAAAAUGCAUGUCAGGGCAUUUAAUUGAGACUGCCAACAUGACAAAUAGAAAGAUUGGAUUCUAUACACAGAGAGAUUUGUUUAUUAAAGUGUUUUGAAACUCCAGCUAAUAAAAACAGCAUUUAAGAUUAAUACAGAUUAAAAAACUAUUUGGGCAGGUAGGCUGCGAUAAAACAUAAUUGAAUGUGCAAAUAUUUCUAUCAAAUUAUGUUCUUAUUCAACUAUUUCCUUCUAAGUCCCUGUGGAAUUGAGAAAUGAUAUACAAUACUAUUAUAAUAGCCAACAUUUGUACAACAUUUUAUAGUUUACAAAGCUCUUCAUGAACCUAAUUCAAUUUGAUUCUCACCACAACCUGGUGAAAUAGGCAGAGUAAGUGCUAUUUCUCCCAGUUUCUGAUGAAAAAAGAGAUUCAGAGGGAAUACAUGACUUGUCAGGAAAUCCUGAUAUUAACCAGGACUCGGGUUUCCCACUCUGGAGUCAGUAUACCUUCGGAUACACUAGUAUUAAAUUCAAGAUAAAAAUGAUAGCAAUGAGGGAGUUCCCAUUGUGGCUCAGCGGAAACGAAUCCGACUAGUAUCCAUGAGGAUUCGGGUUUGAUCCCUGGCCUCUCUCAAUGGUCCCUCAUUGCUGUGAGCUGUGGUGUAGGACAGCAGCUACAGCUUCAGUUUGAUCCCCAGCCUGGGAACAUCUAUAUGCCGAGAGUGCGGCCCUAAAAAGCAAACAAACAAACAAAAAAGAUAGCAAUGAAUUUAAUCAUUAAUUGAGAAAUGUGUAAAUUGACAUCUGAGAGAGAGAGUUCUUGGCUGAUGAGCUGUUUGUCCUGUUGGAAACGUGACAGCUCGUCACUCUGCCAAUCUGCCUCUUCCGUCUUUGUCCGGGUCUACAGCUAAACUGGCCCCAAACUUAAUCCAAAUCUGGGGGUAUUCCUGACAUACAAAAAUACUGGCAGCAAGACCAGCAAUCUGGUUUUUAUUUUGAUUUUGUAGCUUAGUUUAAUGAGCAUAUCUUGGAACCUAACUUUCCGUCAGUUAAAUGGUAAUAUUUAUGGAUCCAUUUGUGUAACACAUUAUGUCAGGUACUAUGGGGAAUCUCAGAAAUACUUUCAUCAUUCACACCCCCGUCCCACCCAUCUAUCCAUCCAUUUAUUCAUUUAAUAUUAACUGAUCAUUGCUCUGGCCAGGCACUAGAGUCGAAGAUGAACAAGAUAAUGUUGCCAUUAUUAAGACACUCACACAGUGCAAUGAGGGAGAGAGCCAUACUGACAGAUUGGUAAAAAGAAGAUGUGAUAAAUCCAACAUUGGUGUUAAUAGGCAGGGGUCAGGAAAGCAAGCCCAGAAGAACAGCUGAAAUGCAUCUUUUAGAACAAGUGGAGUGAGCAGGGAGAGGGAAGAAGUAGGGAGUGGGGCAGAGGGUACAUGAGCAAAGGCCCAGAGCCAGGACACAGUGUGGUGUGCCUUAGCUGUGCCUCUGAGCUAUCAGGAUCAACACCUCUGAAACCUUGACCCCAUCUUUCCUCAACUUCCACUGCAGCCUCCAAGCAAGAGCUGCAGACACAGAGCAUAGCCUGGGUAAGCCCGCUUUAUUAGGAGCAGGGGCUACUCUGUUAUUUGAAGCUGAUGAGUUACAGGACCAUUCCUUUGAAUGGAAGGAAGAGAAGGAAGGAUCUGGUUUCUCAUAUUCCACCAGCCUCGGGGUGAAUGGAUGACUCAAGAGCAUCAACAACUAUCUAAGGAAGAAUCAAAGCUAAGAGAAGACCCAGCAAGAUCUUUCAGGGAGGUGCACCAAGUUUUAACACACGACAUUUUUGAGCCUCUCCUGGAAAGUUUCAGCCUUCAACCCAGCAUCUGCAUUAUCUGGACUCUUCUCAGCAUUCCUUUCUUUUUCCUGGUGGGGGUGAGUCUGCAGGUGGGGGUGGGCAUGACCCCUAGUAGUUGGGAGUGUGACGCUAACUGACCUGGGGUGCGGUGGGGUGGAAGGGUCAGAACUAGUAGAUCCUGACUCUGUUUUUCCUAGAGCCUAAAGUGAAAAGCAGCAUGUGGUGUCAGUGAGGCUGGAGAGGUGAGCAGGGUGGAGAUCCCGGGGGCCUCAUAGUCUGGAACAGUGCUGCCCCAAAGAAAUGCAAAGCCGCAUUUAUAUUUUUUAAUUUUGUAAUAUACGCAUUUUAAAAGCCCAGCAAAAACAUAACAACCUAUAUGGAGAAGCAUCUGAAAAUGAAUGGAUAUAUGUGUAUGUAUAACUGAUUCACUUUGCUGUAUACCUGAAACUAAUACAAUAUUGCAAAUCAACUACACUCCAAUAAUUUUUUUUUUUUUUAAAAGCAGAUAGGAGUGGCUCAAUGGAAACAAAUCUGACUAGUAUCCAUGAGGAUGCAGGUUUGAUCCCUGGCCUCACUCAGUGGGCUAAGAUCCGGCAUUGCCAUGAACUAUGUGUAGGUCACAAAUGCAGCUUGGAUCCUGGAUUCCUGUGGCUGUAGUACAGGCCAGUAGCUGCAGCUCCUAUUCAACCCCUAGCCUGGGAACAUCCAUAUGCCACAGGUGCAGCCCUAAAAAG